UGGGGAAUUUUGGACAAUGGGCGCAAGCCUGAUCCAGCCAUUCCGCGUGCAGGAUGAAGGCCCUCGGGUUGUAAACUGCUUUUGUACGGAACGAAACGGCGCUCGCUAAUACCGGGGGCUAAUGACGGUACCGUAAGAAUAAGCACCGGCUAACUACGUGCCAGCAGCCGCGGUAAUACGUAGGGUGCAAGCGUUAAUCGGAAUUACUGGGCGUAAAGCGUGCGCAGGCGGUGAUGUAAGACAGAUGUGAAAUCCCCGGGCUCAACCUGGGAACUGCAUUUGUGACUGCAUCGCUGGAGUGCGGCAGAGGGGGAUGGAAUUCCGCGUGUAGCAGUGAAAUGCGUAGAUAUGCGGAGGAACACCGAUGGCGAAGGCAAUCCCCUGGGCCUGCACUGACGCUCAUGCACGAAAGCGUGGGGAGCAAACAGGAUUAGAUACCCGCGUAGUCC
rnacentral:rRNA from 1 species